rnacentral:rRNA from 1 species
CGGGGUGCAGCAGGCGCGAAAAUUUACAAUGCCGGCAACGGCGAUAAGGGAACCUCGAGUGCCAGGUUACAAAUCUGGCUGUCGUGGUGCCUAAAAAGCAUUGCAUAGCAAGGGCCGGGCAAGACCGGUGCCAGCCGCCGCGGUAACACCGGCGGCUCGAGUGGUAACCGUUAUUAUUGGGUCUAAAGGGUCUGUAGCCGGCCGGAUAAGUCUUUUGGGAAAUCCGGCAGCUCAACUGUCGGGCUUUCAGGAGAUACUGUCUGGCUCGAGGCCGGGAGAGGUGAGAGGUACUUCAGGGGUAGGGGUGAAAUCUUGUAAUCCUUGAAGGACCACCAGUGGCGAAGGCGUCUCACCAGAACGGACCUGACGGCAAGGGACGAAAGCUAGGGGCACGAACCGGAUUAGAUACCCGGGUAGUCCUAGCCGUAAACGAUACUCGCUAGGUGUCGGCCACGGUGCGACCGUGGUCGGUGCCGUAGGGAAGCCGUGAAGCGAGCCACCUGGGUAGUACGGCCGCAAGGCUGAAACUUAAAGGAAUUGGCGGGGGAGCACAAGGGCGAAUCGCG